UACGGGGGGAGCAAGCGUUGUUCGGAUUUACUGGGCGUAAAGGGCGCGUAGGCGGCGUGACAAGUCACUUGUGAAAUCUCCGGGCUUAACCCGGAGCGGCCAAGUGAUACUGUCGUGCUAGAGUGCGGAAGGGGCUACUGGAAUUCUCGGUGUAGCGGUGAAAUGCGUAGAUAUCGAGAGGAACACCUGCGGCGAAGGCGGGUCUCUGGGCCGAUACUGACGCUGAGGAGCGAAAGCGUGGGGAGCGAACAGG
rnacentral:rRNA from 1 species